rnacentral:rRNA from 1 species
AGAGUUUGAUCAUGGCUCAGGACGAACGCUGGCGGCGUGCUUAACACAUGCAAGUCGAACGGAAAGGCCCUUCGGGGUACUCGAGUGGCGAACGGGUGAGUAACACGUGGGUGAUCUGCCCUGCACUUUGGGAUAAGCCUGGGAAACUGGGUCUAAUACCGAAUAUGACCACGCUCUUCAUGGGGUGUGGUGGAAAGCUUUUGCGGUGUGGGAUGGGCCCGCGGCCUAUCAGCUUGUUGGUGGGGUAAUGGCCUACCAAGGCGGCGACGGGUAGCCGGCCUGAGAGGGUGACCGGCCACACUGGGACUGAGAUACGGCCCAGACUCCUACGGGAGGCAGCAGUGGGGAAUAUUGCACAAUGGGCGCAAGCCUGAUGCAGCGACGCCGCGUGAGGGAUGACGGCCUUCGGGUUGUAAACCUCUUUCACCAGGGACGAAGCGCAAGUGACGGUACCUGGAGAAGAAGCACCGGCCAACUACGUGCCAGCAGCCGCGGUAAUACGUAGGGUGCGAGCGUUGUCCGGAAUUACUGGGCGUAAAGAGCUCGUAGGUGGUUUGUCGCGUUGUUCGUGAAAACUCACAGCUUAACUGUGGGCGUGCGGGCGAUACGGGCAGACUAGAGUACUGCAGGGGAGACUGGAAUUCCUGGUGUAGCGGUGGAAUGCGCAGAUAUCAGGAGGAACACCGGUGGCGAAGGCGGGUCUCUGGGCAGUAACUGACGCUGAGGAGCGAAAGCGUGGGGAGCGAACAGGAUUAGAUACCCUGGUAGUCCAA